rnacentral:rRNA from 1 species
AAAUUGAAGAGUUUGAUCAUGGCUCAGAUUGAACGCUGGCGGCAGGCCUAACACAUGCAAGUCGAGCGGAAACGAGUUGUCUGAACCUUCGGGGAACGAUAACGGCGUCGAGCGGCGGACGGGUGAGUAAUGCCUAGGAAAUUGCCCUGAUGUGGGGGAUAACCAUUGGAAACGAUGGCUAAUACCGCAUGAUGCCUACGGGCCAAAGAGGGGGACCUUCGGGCCUCUCGCGUCAGGAUAUGCCUAGGUGGGAUUAGCUAGUUGGUGAGGUAAGGGCUCACCAAGGCGACGAUCCCU